UUUCCGUAGGUGAACCUGCGGAAGGAUCAUUCAUAAUAAGUGUUUUAUGGCACUUUUUAAAUCCAUAUCCACCUUGUGUGCAAUGUCAGUCGUUCUCUCUUUUGGUAACGACCAAACAUCAACUUAUUCUGUAACUCUUUGUCUGAAAAAUAUUAUGAAUAAAAUAAUUCAAAAUAUAACUUUCAACAACGGAUCUCUUGGCUCUC
rnacentral:misc_RNA from 1 species